UGCGUAAAUUAACAUCGAUUAUACGCCAAGGUAUGACGUAAAUGUUCCUAUAAAGUGAAGAUCACAUAGUAAAAAAAUAUAAAUGUGUAAAGUAUCCUGGUUUUAUGUUUAUGCAAAAACUAAGGCUUAAAUAAUUCUAAAGUAUCCAUUGUUAAUGGUGAAUGAAUUCCCUCCAACUUGCUUCACAUAGAAAUCUUGGCACUAGAUAUUCACUCCUUUCUCUGAUCUAGAAAAAAAAUCUUUUAAUAAAACUACUUUGCAUCGAUAUGAUUAGCCAUAUUUUUACCAAUUUUUAUAAUAACACCCUUUCUUUCCUCGGACACUAACUGUCCCAGAUAUUGGUCUCCAAUGCAGAGCAAAGAGAUUUAUCGAAGCCCUAAAUAGUUUAGUACUCCAAUUCUCCAUCCAAAUCUACUAGCACUUGGUUAGUGUUCUGUUUGAUUCUAUAAGUACUCAGUCCGCCUACAUGAAUAUUCUGCAUAGCAUUCAGUCUUCAUGUCUGAAUCUUCUACUACUUGAGAAAUCCUGUCUCAUGUACUAGUAUUUAGACCACCUGUUUACAUCUUCUAGUACUCAAGUCAAUAAUUUUGCAUAAAUCGUCUAGUAUCAUGAGUAUUCAGUCUUCAUGCCUAAAUCUAUCAGUAUUCAAUCACACUGUCUACAUCUCCUAGUACUCAGUAUUUCUGCUUAAAUCUUCUUGUAAUCAGUCAUUCUGCAUACGUCUGCUUGUACUCUGUCUUACAACCUUAAUCUAGUAGUAUUCGGUCAUCUUCACUAAAUCGGAUAGUAAUCAGUAUUUAUGUCUGAAUUUUACAGUACCAAUCCUCAACUAUAAACGUCUACGAGUACUCAGUGCUACAACAUAAAUCUACUACUACUAUGACUCGAUCAAUUUGACUAUGUAUCUAUUUAAUAAAGUACUCAGUCAUGCUGUCUAAAUAAACUAUUAUACACAAGCCAAAUAGUGCUUAAAUAUACGCGCAUACUUAGUCAUUCGGUUUAAAUCUCGUAGAACCCAUCUAUGUGUAGUUCUUCUAACACUCAGUCUUCCUGUCUUAAUUUACUAGUACUCAUUUCUCCUUCCUUAUUCAUUUACUAGUAUUCAGUGGGACUUUCUUCGUACAUUUGUAGUUGACAAGAAACCUUCUGUUGAAGGUCGUUGUUUUCUCCGGGAACAAUAGCUUCCACUGCCGAUAAAAUGCUGUCACCAUGACCUACUUGACUUAAUCCACUUCGUCCCAUGGGGGACUAAGGGCGACCACAUUGGCUUUCCAUCUUUUCUUGUCUUUUGCUAGUUUCUUUGCCUCUUCCCACGUUUUCUGAAUAUUCUGUAGAUCAGAUGCCAAAUCUCUGCGCCAGACGGUUUUUGGUUGCCCUCUUUUAUGAUGGCCCUGAGGAUUUGAAUCUAACGACUGUCUAGUUACAUUUGUGUUGUUUUAUGUAGAGUGUGUCCAAUCUUUCUACAGAUGUUUGUCUUGUCCUCUAUAUUUCGUUGGUUCUUAUGAUGGUUUGGCCACUUAAUUCCAAUAAUGUUUAAGUAAACGCAGCUAUUAGUCUCCAAGUUUCUGACCCAAAGAGAGGUGUAGGUUCUACAUUUGGGUCACCAUGAUAUAGCAAAUAUCCCUGAAAGUGGUGUUAUAUA
rnacentral:lncRNA from 1 species